GCCUGCCCAGUGACUACGGGUUCAACGGCCGCGGUAUUUUGACCGUGCAAAGGUAGCGCAAUCACUUGUCUCUUAAAUAGAGACCUGUAUGAAUGGCUAGACGAGGGCUUAACUGUCUCCCCCCUCCAGUCAGUGAAAUUGAUCUAUCCGUGCAGAAGCGGGUAUAACUAUACAAGACGAGAAGACCCUUUGGAGCUUAAGGUACAAAUUCAACCACGUUAAACGACUCCAUAGAAAGCAAGAACUUAGUGGCGAAUGAAAUUUUACCUUCGGUUGGGGCGACCACGGAGGAGAAAGAAGCCUCCGAGUGGACUGGGCUAAACCCUAAAGCCAAGAGAUACAUCUACAAGCCGCAGAACAUCUGACCAAUAAUGAUCCGACUGAAAAGCCGAUCAACGAACCAAGUUACCCUAGGGAUAACAGCGCAAUCCUCUCCCAGAGUCCAUAUCGACGAGGGGGUUUACGACCUCGAUGUUGGAUCAGGACAUCCUAAUGGUGCAGCCGCUA
rnacentral:rRNA from 1 species